rnacentral:rRNA from 1 species
UACGUAGGGGGCAAGCGUUGUCCGGAAUCAUUGGGCGUAAAGAGCGUGUAGGCGGCCAGAAAAGUCCGCUGUGAAAACUCGAGGCUCAACUUCGAGCUGUCGGUGGAAACUUUCUGGCUAGGGUCCGGAAGAGGAGAAUGGAAUUCCUGGUGUAGCGGUGAAAUGCGCAGAUAUCAGGAAGAACACCCGUGGCGAAGGCGGUUCUCUGGGACGGUACUGACGCUGAGACGCGAAAGCGUGGGGAGCGAACAGG